GACGAACGCUGGCGGCGUGCUUAACACAUGCAAGUCGAACGGAAAGGCCCUGCUUUUGUGGGGUGCUCGAGUGGCGAACGGGUGAGUAACACGUGAGUAACCUGCCCUUGACUUUGGGAUAACUUCAGGAAACUGGGGCUAAUACCGGAUAGGAGCUCCUGCUGCAUGGUGGGGGUUGGAAAGUUUCGGCGGUUGGGGAUGGACUGGCGGCUUAUCAGCUUGUUGGUGGGGUAGUGGCUUACCAAGGCUUUGACGGGUAGGCGGCCUGGGAGGGGAGACAGGCUCCAGAGGACUACGGGAGGGACCAGUAGGCAAUCGGCGGCAGCAGUGGGGAAUAUUGCACAAUGGGCGGGAGCGUGAUACAGCAACGCCGCGUGCGGGAUGACGGCCUUCGGGUUGUAAACCGCUUUGGACUGUGACGAAGCGGGAGUGACGGUAAUGGGUAAAAAAGCACCGGCUAACUACGUG
rnacentral:rRNA from 1 species